rnacentral:rRNA from 1 species
ACUCCUACGGGAGGCAGCAGUGAGGAAUAUUGGACAAUGGGUGGAAGCCUGAUCCAGCCAUCCCGCGUGCAGGAAGACGGCCCUAUGGGUUGUAAACUGCUUUUAUCUGGGGAUAAACCUACUUACGUGUAAGUAGCUGAAGGUACCAGAAGAAUAAGCACCGGCUAACUCCGUGCCAGCAGCCGCGGUAAUACGGAGGGUGCAAGCGUUAUCCGGAUUUAUUGGGUUUAAAGGGUCCGUAGGCGGACUGAUAAGUCAGUGGUGAAAUCCGACAGCUUAACUGUCGAACUGCCAUUGAUACUGUUAGUCUUGAGUAAGGUUGAAGUGGCUGGAAUAAGUAGUGUAGCGGUGAAAUGCAUAGAUAUUACUUAGAACACCAAUUGCGAAGGCAGGUCACUAAGUCUUAACUGACGCUGAUGGACGAAAGCGUGGGGAGCGAACAGGAUUAGAAACCCUGGUAGUCCCA